AUUGAACGCUGGCGGCAUGCCUUACACAUGCAAGUCGAACGGCAGCACGGGAGCAAUCCUGGUGGCGAGUGGCGAACGGGUGAGUAAAGUAUCGGAACGUGCCCAGUCGUGGGGGAUAACGUAGCGAAAGUUACGCUAAUACCGCAUACGAUCUAUGGAUGAAAGCGGGGGAUCGCAAGACCUCGCGCGAUUGGAGCGGCCGAUAUCAGAUUAGGUAGUUGGUGGGGUAAAGGCUCACCAAGCCGACGAUCUGUAGCUGGUCUGAGAGGACGACCAGCCACACUGGGACUGAGACACGGCCCAGACUCCUACGGGAGGCAGCAGUGGGGAAUUUUGGACAAUGGGCGCAAGCCUGAUCCAGCCAUGCCGCGUGCAGGAUGAAGGCCUUCGGGUUGUAAACUGCUUUUGUACGGAACGAAAAGGUUUGACUUAAUACGUUGGACUCAUGACGGUACCGUAAGAAUAAGCACCGGCUAACUACGUGCCAGCAGCAGCCGCCG
rnacentral:rRNA from 1 species